rnacentral:rRNA from 1 species
GUGAGGAAUAUUGGGCAAUGGGCGAAAGCCUGACCCAGCCACGCCGCGUGAGUGAUGAAGGCCUUCGGGUUGUAAAGCUCUGUGGGGAGGGAAGAAAAAGCGGGAGAGUAACUGCUCUCGUGUUGACGGUACCUCCUUAGCAAGCACCGGCUAACUCUGUGCCAGCAGCCGCGGUAAUACAGAGGGUGCAAACGUUGCUCGGAAUUACUGGGCGUAAAGCGCGUGUAGGCUGACAUGCAAGUCGGGUGUGAAAUCCAAGGGCUCAACCUUGGAACUGCACUCGAAACUGCACGUCUUGAGUACUGGAGAGGGAAGCGGAAUUCCGGGUGUAGAGGUGAAAUUCGUAGAUAUCCGGAGGAACACCAGUGGCGAAGGCGGCUUCCUGGACAGUAACUGACGCUGAGACGCGAAAGCGUGGGGAGCAAACAGGAUUAGAAACCCCUGUAUCC